UACGUAGGCAGCAAGCGUUGUUCGGAGUUACUGGGCGUAAAGAGUGCGUAGGUGGUGCCCUAAGUCUGUUGUGAAAUCUCCCGGCUUAACUGGGAGGGUGCGGUGGAAACUGGGGUGCUUGAGUGUGGGAGAGGUAAGCGGAAUUCCUGGUGUAGCGGUGAAAUGCGUAGAUAUCAGGAGGAACACCGGUGGUGUAGACGGCUUACUGGACCACGACUGACACUGAGGCACGAAAGCGUGGGUAGCAAACGGG
rnacentral:rRNA from 1 species